rnacentral:rRNA from 1 species
UACGUAGGGGGCAAGCGUUGUCCGGAAUUAUUGGGCGUAAAGCGCGUGUAGGCGGUUCGGUAAGUCCGCUGUGAAAGUCGGGGGCUCAACCCUCGGAAGCCGGUGGAUACUGUCGAGCUAGAGUACGGAAGAGGCGAGUGGAAUUCCUGGUGUAGCGGUGAAAUGCGCAGAUAUCAGGAGGAACACCAAUUGCGAAGGCAGCUCGCUGGGACGUUACUGACGCUGAGACGCGAAAGCGUGGGGAGCAAACAGG